rnacentral:rRNA from 1 species
UACAGAGGUCCCGAGCGUUGUUCGGAUUCACUGGGCGUAAAGGGUGCGUAGGUGGUGAGGUAAGUCGGAUGUGAAAUCUCCGGGCUCAACCCGGAAAUGGCAUUGGAAACUACCUUGCUAGAGGAUUUGAGGGGGGAUUGGAAUACUUGGUGUAGCAGUGAAAUGCGUAGAUAUCAAGUGGAACACCAGUGGCGAAGGCGGGUCUCUGGGCAACAACUGACGCUGAGGAGCGAAAGCGUGGGGAGCGAACAGG